UGCAAGUCGAGCGGAAGGCCCUUCGGGGUACUCGAGCGGCGAACGGGUGAGUAACACGUGAGCAACCUGCCCUAGGCUUUGGGAUAACCCUCGGAAACGGGGGCUAAUACCGAAUAGGACCUGACCUCGCAUGGGGUUGGGUGGAAAGUUUUUCGGCCUGGGAUGGGCUCGCGGCCUAUCAGCUUGUUGGUGGGGUGAUGGCCUACCAAGGCGACGACGGGUAGCCGGCCUGAGAGGGCGACCGGCCACACUGGGACUGAGACACGGCCCAGACUCCUACGGGAGGCAGCAGUGGGGAAUAUUGCACAAUGGGCGGAAGCCUGAUGCAGCGACGCCGCGUGAGGGAUGACGGCCUUCGGGUUGUAAACCUCUUUCAGCAGGGACGAAGCGCAAGUGACGGUACCUGCAGAAGAAGCGCCGGCCAACUACGUGCCAGCAGCCGCGGUAAGACGUAGGGCGCGAGCGUUGUCCGGAUUUAUUGGGCGUAAAGAGCUCGUAGGCGGCUUGUCGCGUCGACCGUGAAAACUUGGGGCUCAACCCCAAGCCUGCGGUCGAUACGGGCAGGCUAGAGUUCGGUAGGGGAGACUGGAAUUCCUGGUGUAGCGGUGAAAUGCGCAGAUAUCAGGAGGAACACCGGUGGCGAAGGCGGGUCUCUGGGCCGAUACUGACGCUGAGGAGCGAAAGCGUGGGGAGCGAACAGGAUUA
rnacentral:rRNA from 1 species